UUCCUGGAGGCAGCGGAGUGCUCAGCUCAGAGCCUUCUGUUUUCCUUGCUCGCUUUGCUCCCCGUGCUUCGUUAGGCAGGCACUGGAGGGGCAGGUUAAUAAAAGGCGAGAUUUAGCUCAGCCACUGUGCAACAGAGCAGAAAAGCCAAAAUCGAUCAGCUGACCGUUCAGUGCUUCAGAGCUCCGAGAGCCCAGAACUGCAGUGACUUCAGCACCUGCCAGCAGCAGCUGAGCCAGCCCUGUGCUGGAGAAAGGUUUCCUUUGGCCAGAGUGGAUCAAGAGGUGGGACAACCCAGCAGACACAGCCAAGUCUCAUCCCUCCACUCCCUGAUCUCCUGGACCAUGUCUCCGUAGUUCCCUGUGCUGAGAGUGCUGGCCUGGACAAGGCGAUGUGCCAAGCAGGGCAGCACCCUGCUGGCCAUCCUUCAGCCAACUCUGUCUGGGAUAGUUGAACAAAGACCAUGCACAGUCAGCUUUUGUCUGGACUGGAGCAAAGCACGCAGGAUGACUGAGGAGCCUGUCAGAAGACAAGGCACUGACAAGAUGGCAUGUGGACAGUGCCCAAACCUUCUCACUUCUGUAAUAAAUGCAAGCAACUGAUGAUGGCCAGAGUAAAGGAUGCCAUAUUGAAAUACCCACAACAUCUGCAAGGCUUUGGCCGCAGGCAUUCCUCACACAUCUCUUGGCCCUUCUGCUCCAAGGGCAGUUUUCUUCGGAGAAGGCAGUUAGAAAUCUGCAGCCCACAACUUGAAAUGAAGAUAACUGGAGUGUGUUCUGAAUGGCAGCCUCCCACAGACCAUUUAUUGUUGAUUACGAUGCUUCCAAAUGGCGACAGGCUUGAAUUUAGGGAAACAAGAUGGCACUGACAGAUGCAAACCAUUGCUUCUGGCAGCUGGAAGCUGAGCAGAUGAGAGGAAUGACAUUUUGCUGUGGAGCUGGAAAAUUUGGCAGUAGCUCGGGCUUUAAAACCACCACUGCUGCUGGGUGGGUGGUUUAUAGUUUCACAGAUCAUCAGGCCUCAUAAUGAGAAGAGACAUGGAAUUUGGAACACAGUGGCAAAAUAGUGGCGAUGAUCCCUUUCAGAAGGAGGAGGCACAGCCAAGGGUCUCUCAGUGAAAGCACUGCCGGCAACCCGGAGCCCUGCUGCCUGAACUGGGAGGAGCAGAGGGAAGAGAUGGGAGCAGGGCCGGAGCUGUUGGGCUGGAGGCUAUCAAAUCCCAGUGGCACUUCAUCGGGCAGCAGUGUCUGGCAGAGCAGAUGUCUAUUCUCAGUCUUCUUCUGGGGAGAUAAUGGCAACUCAGUUAAAACAAUGUUGUGGAAAGCAGGGUUGUAAGUAAACAUGAGUUUAACAAGCAUUGCUUGGUGUGCAUGAUGUCAAAUAAUAGCAUUGUUUCACCAGUACUCAGUGGCCCACCAAAGGCUGAGGCCGGGGGGGUUGGGGUGGUGCUGGGCAGCCCCACUGCUGCGGGAGCUUUUGCCAAGCUCUUGCUUGGUGACGACCAUGUCAGAGACCAAGAGGAUGAGUCCUCCACCCCAGGAAGGAGGGUCCAUCGGCUAUGGACAACUGGCUCUGGGAUUUACUGAGGACUUGUGGGUCGGUGUGGGCACUGCUCAGUGCACAUUAUGUUUCUUCCGCCUCCUGAUUUAACUAUUUGUGUCGUUUUCAUUAUCAUUACUUAGAGUUCAAAAGAAUUAAGAAGCUGCACUUGCAGCUUGCACACAUAGGAGAAGGAUAUGCUCUCUUCAGCCUUGAGCUAUGUAAGACACUUUAAAACUAGAAUAUGUGGCUUGCUGCUAAUUUUCAUUACAGAGCAUAAGGUCAUUGUCUUCUUGGACAAACCUCGUGAGACUGGCAGCCCAGCACUAAAGGCACCAGACAUUACAGUUGCAGGUACUGUCUGACAUAUUUCGUGGUAGUACUACCAAAGUAUGAUGUUUUCUUUUUGUGGAUUGUUAAAGAAGGAGAUUAUCUUAGAAACGCGAUUUGAAAAUUGUACUUUCUUUUCAAAAUGUUAUUUGUAGAAAUGUGAUUUUGAAAAAACAUUUUAAUUUACUGAACGUUUCGUGUGCUCCUGUGCUUGGUUUGAACCUACUGCAAAGCUCAUACGUCCACGAACACAUCGCUUUCUGCCUCAUUUAGAAGCAGUGAGAGCUUCCUAUUGAACAGGUACACUGAAUCUUUAUCCAGCAGCUUUGUUUUCCCAGUCCACCUCCUACUAAAGAACAGCUUUGCUUCUCAGUUCUUUUUUCAAUAAAGUGUCUUUUGAAGAAGUAAGAAGCGAUACCUAAUGGGGAGUAUGCUGUGCUGUUACAGAACGUGAUAGCACCAAAAAGGUGUGAAAUCCAAGAUCAUUUUCUGGUUGUUAUAUAUUAAAUUAGAGUAAAGCUUCCUGAGGUGAAAAGAAUCAUUCUCCAUUACCAGACACUUGGCUGUAAAAUGUGUAGCUUACAACUCAUUAUCACUUAAGAAUUAGAACCUCAAGGUCAUGAAUAACAAAAUAUGAGCCGUGACCCUCUGCAGAAUUGGAUUAUUAAGUCAGCUAAGGAUAUGUGUAAUUUUCUGUCAUUUGUAUGACCUUCCCAGAUUAAGGUCAACGCAGUGCUUAUCAACAGAGCACGUGUCUGCAGGCCCUGAACAAGUGAUGAGACUCUCUAGAGAAGCUGCACUUAGCUGAUGGUCUUGCAGGCGGUGGACACUUCUGGAGUACCCUCAUCCUGACCACGGGGGGCUGCACAGUGCCCACAGCUGGGGCAGGGGGCUGUGGGACUACCCAAAAUCAGUGUAAGUGCUGGGUGGCAAACCAAUGGGCCCAAGACCACAGAGGCUUCUGCAGCACUUGAGGCAACUGCAGAAAAGAAAGCCUCCUUUUCUCCCUGGAAUAAAGUAGUUAAACUUGGAUUAAAUUGAAUGAUUAAACAGUUAAAUUUUCUCCUUGGGGUAAAACUUGGGCAGCCUGAUCUAGAGGUUGGCAUCCCUGCCAAUGGCUGGGGCUUGGAAUCAGAUGAUCUUUACGGUCCCCUCCAACCUACACCAUUCUAUGAUUCUAUGAAACUGUAUUUCUUUCCAUAAAAUUUGUUUUCGAGUUA
ensembl:lncRNA